rnacentral:rRNA from 1 species
CAACGCGAAGAACCUUACCAGGUCUUGACAUCCCGAUGCCCGCUCGUAGAGAUAGAGCUUUACUUCGGUACAUCGGUGACAGGUGGUGCAUGGUUGUCGUCAGCUCGUGUCGUGAGAUGUUGGGUUAAGUCCCGCAACGAGCGCAACCCCUAUUGUUAGUUGCCAUCAUUAAGUUGGGCACUCUAGCGAGACUGCCGGUAAUAACCGGAGGAAGUGGGAUGACGUCAAAUCAUCAUGCCCCUUAUGACCUGGGCUACACACGUGCUACAAUGGUUGGUACAACGAGUCGCAAGCCGGUGACGGCAAGCUAAUCUCUUAAAGCCAAUCUCAGUUCGGAUUGUAGGCUGCAACUCGCCUACAUGAAGUCGGAAUCGCUAGUAAUCGCGGAUCAGCACGCCGCGGUGAAUACGUUCCCGGGCCUU